rnacentral:rRNA from 1 species
AUGAACGAGCCGCCGGGGCCGUGGCAGCUGCCGGUGAUCGGCAGCCUGCACCACCUCGUCGGGCAGCUCCCCCACCGCGCGAUGCGUGACCUAGCGCGGCGCUACGGGCCGGUCAUGCUCCUCCGGCUCGGCGAGGUGCCCACGCUGGUGGUGUCGUCCCGGGAGGGUGCUCGUGAGGUUAAGAAAAUCGCCGUCUUCGAGCUCUUGUCGGCGCGGCGCGUCACGUCCUUCCGCGCCAUCCGCGAGGAGGAGGUCGCCGCCGUGCUCCGCGAUGUCGCCGAGGCCGCGGCGGCCACGCGCUCCGUGGAGCUGCGCGCGUGCCUCUCCGCGCUCGGCAUCGACAUCACGGUCCGCGCCGUCAUGGGUGACCGGUUCAAGGAGCGCGAUGUGUUCCUCCACGCGCUCGACCGCUCCACGAAGCUCGUGGCGGGGUUCAACCCGCCGGACCUGUGGCCGUCGUCCCGGCUUGCCGGCUAUCUCAGCAGGGCCGUGCGCAGCGCCAAGAAGUGCCGUGACAUCGGGAACUGCAUCCUCGACGCCAUCAUCCACGAGCGGCUUGAGAGGGCGAUGGAAGGUGGCGGGGGCCAGAAGAACGAGGACUUGCUCGACGUGCUGCUAAGCAUGCACAAGGAGGCCAAGCUGGACAUGGACGCCGUCAAAUACGUCAUCUUCGACCUAUUCAGUGCCGGCAGUGAGACAACUACGCUAGAGUGGGCAUUCGCAGAGCUGAUGAGGAACCCAAAGGUGAUGCACAAGGCAACCACCGAGGUUCGGCGAGCCUUCAAGGCCCACGGCACCGUAGCGGAGCACCGCCUCGACGAGCUCCCGUACAUGCGCCUGGUCAUUCGGGAGGCGCUGCGGCUGCACAUGCCCACGCCGUUGCUCCUCCCGCGGGAGUGCCGGGAGCCAUGUCAGGUGCUCGGGUAUGACGUCCCCCAGGGCACGCAGGUGCUAGUCAACGUCUGGGCAUUGGGCCGUGACAAGCGAUACUGGCCUGACAGGCCGGAGGAGUUCCGGCCAGAGCGGUUCAAGGACGAGGAUGCUGUGGACUUUAAGGGUAACGACUUCUCUUUCCUGCCGUUCGGCGCAGGCCGGAGGAUGUGCCCUGGGAUAGCGUUCGGCCUUGCCAACAUUGGGCUCGCACUCGCGAGCCUGCUGUUCCACUUCGACUGGGAGGGUCCAAGUCCAGACGAAUUGGACAUGACUGAAGCGUUUGGCGUUACAGCGCGGCGGAAGGCCGGCCUCCUCCUGCGCCCUGUUCUCCGUGUGCCCGUUCCCUUCCCGGAGUCUACUCCACCGGCAGGCAACGGAGAUCGUUAG